ensembl:miRNA
GUGUUUGGUUUGUAGGCAGUGUAGUUAGCUGAUUGUAUCCAUCUAUUUGCAAUCACUAACUUUACUGCCAUCAAAACAAGACAC